rnacentral:rRNA from 1 species
AUGAAUUGGAUACUUCAAGAGAAGAGAAGAGAAUUGUCAGAUAAGGAGAGGCAUGAUGUUUACUUUACCUUGCUAGUAAUCAAGCUCAAAGAUGGGUCUGUUCAACCAGACGACAAGCUGCUAGUCUCAAACCUUUUGGACAUAAGUGUACGAUCUGUUGAAAGAAUUUGGGAACAGGCCAAAAAGCAAAUUGUCGAUGGCAAAGAAGUAGUUGUCUCAAGCAAGAAGCCAGGAAGAUCCGGCCGAAAGAGAAAGGAGCUAGAUCUAGAGAGGACCUCAACAAUCCCACUGAAUAAAAGAAGAACAAUUCGAUCUCUGGCAUGGUCUCUAGGUGUGGAGUGA